rnacentral:rRNA from 1 species
CCUACGGGAGGCAGCAGUGGGGAAUAUUGGGCAAUGGAGGCAACUCUGACCCAGCAACGCCGCGUGAAUGAUGAAGGUCUUCGGAUUGUAAAGUUCUUUUCUAAGGGAAGAAGAAAGUGACGGUACCUUAGGAAUAAGCCUCGGCUAACUACGUGCCAGCAGCCGCGGUAAUACGUAGGAGGCAAGCGUUAUCCGGAAUGACUGGGCGUAAAGGGUGCGUAGGUGGUUCAGCAAGUUAGUAGCGUAACUCCGGGGCUCAACCUCGGCACUACUACUAAAACUGUUGGACUUGAGUGCAGGAGGGGCAACUGGAAUUCCUAGUGUAGCGGUGGAAUGCGUAGAUAUUAGGAGGAACACCAGUGGCGAAGGCGGCUCACUGGACUGUAACUGACGUUGAGGCUCGAAAGCGUGGGGAGCAAACAGGAUUAGAUACCCGGGUAGUC